GGGCUGAGGCUCAAUGGUAGAGUGCUCGCCUAGCAUUUGCGAGGCACUGGGUUCAAUCCCCAGCAUCACA
rnacentral:tRNA from 1 species